GCACCCGUAGCUCAGCUGGAUAGAGCACCGGACUUCGAAUCCGGGUGUCGUGGGUCCGAAUCCCUCCGGGUGCGCCA
rnacentral:tRNA from 1 species